ensembl:lncRNA
AAAAAGUGGAUGAAACGUGAAUCCGCCAACCAGAGCCGGACUUUCAACCACAUUUUCACUUUUGCUGUUUCUCUCCUGUGAGAUCUGCACUAAAGCCUCCUUUAGAGUAGUUCAUCUUCACUCUAUCAAUGGGAAACUUUUGAUAAUUACCGUCCACACACUAGUGCCACGUGUGACGACCCUCUCUGCCUCUGGCUGGUGUACCUGCAGGUGGGUGUGACAGAGGGUCUCAGGGGAUUGGGAUCACCUGAGGUAAUCAGCAGCACUGGCAACACUGUGUUGAAUGUAUAACCUGAUACAACAAAGUAAAAUGUACUUGGGUAAUCGGAGUGAAACCUGUCAACCAGCGUGACAAUGUGCGGCCUUUUCUUCAACAAGACCACAGAACGGUACAACUAUGACGGCUGAGUUUAAACCUGAGGAAAAACAAAAUUCACGGACAGGAGCUAUUGGAGUAAGUUAUGUUUAAUUAAUGUUCUAAGUUGCUGUUGAGCCUUUGGUCAAGUCUGCAUUUGAGUUGUGAAUGCUGAAGAGCAUGCGACCGACGGGGGGCGGUGGUGCAAACGUUACGUCGGUAGGGGGAUUGGGCCAACGGCUAACUGGGAGGAGGCGGAAGAGGGAUUGGCCCAACGGCUAACUGGGAGGAGGCGGAAGGGGGUUGUAGUCUGUCCGCUGGGGCAGAGUGCAUGUGUGGGGCGAACUGCCGUGCAUGGGGGAAGAAAAAAAUAUUUUUGGACAGUUAGAUUUACUGUUGUGUGUUAAUAUCGUUUUUUUUAUAUAUUUCACAUGUGAGAUGCAUGUAGCGGUAAAAACACUCUGUAAACAAUUGUCUUGUGCUAAAAGCCAGAUCUCAGUGGUUGACCCUGAGAUGGAGAGAUAGAAAGAUCUAGGGUUUGCAGCUGUGUUUGGGGAAGGGGGUUAUCUUGCUCUCACAGACCUUCGAUCAGAGGAGCAUUGGGUGUUCCCCUCAGCUCCACCUGAGUUCUUAUCUCAAUUUGUGGCUUCUCGUAACUGGCACUAAGAACUGUCUUCAAGUGUAUAAAAACUCAGCGUUUUUACUGCUCGGCGACGCCAGUACACAGAACGCUGAGAUACGUGCUUGUGUGUUUGACCUCCUGCUUGCAAGCAAUAGUUAGAGCCAGAUAUCUGCGGAGAAUUACUCAUGUAAUCUUUUUCUCUUCUAAAUAAAUGUUAACUUUAAUUGAUCAACGUGCUGGAUCCUUCUCAUCAAUGGACUCGGGGGGAUCGGAGAUCCUGACACACAGAAUAAAGACGUUGACACUAAGCAAGUUCCUCUCAGCAGUUGACUCAAGCACGUGGCGUUGCCACAAAGAGAAGUUUUUGGGCAGUGGCUGGGACAGGACACCUCAUACCCCUAUGUCUGAGGCAUCCAGUGUCACGUACUUGGAGAAGGGGUGCAAAGGUGAAUCUGGAUUUCAGGGUCUGGAAAACCCCUUCGGCUGCAGAAGUCCACAAGAAUGGGGUAUUGGAGGAGGUCAGCCUGCUGAACGUGGAAGCCACUGCACCUGAUGAACUUCUGAUAGAAAUGUUCAAACGAAAAGAAACAUUGAAGUUGUUUCCGGGAGUUUGGGACUGGCCAGGUGGUGACUGCAGCAACCUCAGCAGGGUCCAUCUGGAUGCUGCCCUGGGAAACUAUAUAUCCCAGGAAUGACAUUAUGGAAACGUGAAACUCUCACUUCUCCGCCUUCACAAACAGGGAACUCUCCAGUAGGCGCUGAAGCACGGACUGGACAUGGUGCACAUCUUCCUGGUUUAUGGAGAAGGGGUACCAUUUCUUAAAAACGCAGAUGAAGUCAAGUAGUAGUUCCAAUCAGUCUUUUAUUUUCCUCAACGCAGACAAGCGGUUAAAAGGGACGCUGAGAGACUUACUCGGGACAGAAGGCUGGGUGAAUUACUGUGAACACGUACUGCAAAAUGUCAAUGUACGUGGGGAUUUUCUUCUGCCGAUCUUACUUAUGGCGUGUGUAUUUAUUCUGCCUGAAGUGAGUAAUAAUGAUGGCCAUUUCCAUAAAGGAGACUAAAUUCCAAUGCUGACUGAUACGGCAAUACCAACACCAGAAGGCCAGCGGCCAUGUUACUCAGUCACCACAAUGAUAAAGUCAAGAAAUAUGAAUGUUUUUCUAUAUCGUUUUCUUUCUAUCACAUACAGCCACAGCCACAGAUUGCCUGCAGGCAAGUUAAAUUUUUCGAUAAGGCUGGUGGGAAAUUCAAUUUGUGGGUGUUAGUGUGCGUGUGCAUGUGUGUGUUUAUAUAAUGGAAGUGGAGAGAAGUUAUUGUCGAUGUUUGGCAUUGGAUCAAUAUUCAGUACGGAGAGUUAGAGGAUCAAGCUACAGAAUACACAACUUUGAUAUGGACCUUUUGAGGCUCGAGCCAUCAACUGGUUUUGCCAGAACAAUCGAUGCAGCUCAUGCGUUUUCUUAAUGUCACACAUAGUACAGUCAAAUGAAUUCUUUCUUUUUACAGCCCAUCUGUUGGCAGAAAUUAAAUAUGUUUGUCUUAGUCAAUAUUACUUAGACGACAGCCUGGGAUUGCUCACACAGGGACACAUUGUGUUCGCCAGGAUG